CCCUAUAGUAGAGAAUAGCCCGGUAGAAAAUCGGAUUAAUGCUCUAUGUUAUUCAAGUGCGGACAUCUAAGUUGAAUCGAAAGGUUUACCGCUAUAGGACGGGGAUGCGUCUGAUUAGGUUGUUGGCGGGGUAACGGCCCACCAAGCCCACGACCAGUAGGGGUUCUGAGAGGAAGGUCCCCCACAUUGGAACUGAGACACGGUCCAAACUCCUACGGGAGGCAGCAGUGAGGAAUAUUGGUCAAUGGACGAAAGUCUGAACCAGCCAAGUAGCCGUGCAGGAUGACGGCCCUAUGGGUUGUAAACUGCUUUUAUACAGGGAUAAAGUCGGGAACGUGUUCCCGUUUGUAGGUACUGUAUGAAUAAGGACCGGCUAAUUCCGUGCCAGCCGCAGC
rnacentral:rRNA from 1 species